UUUUAUAUCUCAUAUCUUUGUGUAAAUCAAGAUAUCUACAACUAUUGAAUCAUAUGAUGAUUUUUCAAACUAAUCAGGUGUUUAACACUCGUGAAAUUUUGAAGGAAUGAGUUGAUAAUUUGGCACGAAUUCUCGGAUAUAUGGUCAUUACAAAGAGAUCAAAAAUAAAAAGUGGCUAUGUUUCAAAAGUCAUUUUCGUUUGUGAUCGAAAUGGUGUUUAUAGAGCCGUCAUCGUGUUCAUCACCUGACUAACGGGCAAAGAUGGAAGAAGGCAGACGAAUGUAAUACAAUGAGAGGGAAACACGAAACGUAAUAAGGGGGUGCAAAGGGUCGCAUUUGGUCGAUCGAAUUGCGAGGAGGUCGUCUCCGGAAUCGAUGAGGCCGAAACAAUGAAGGUGGGAAGAAUCCGUGAAGCCCUCUUCCUGCUCUGAUGGUGAUGUGUGAAGGGGGAAAAGAAAGCAUUGUCUUCUCGAUUCUAAGCGGCUAAGCCUUCUCCAAACAUUUCUUCUACUAAUCUACUCUUCUGUUGAGUCGAUGUCUCACUAAGUCACAGAAUCGCUUCACUUAAUUGUUGCACGCUGCUAUUCUUCCCAAUCUUCUUCCUUCUUCAUUCUUUAUUCUCAGUUAAGGUAUACCUGAAAUCAAGAACUAGAAUGUUCUUGUUUUCUUGGCUGGGAACGAAAUGAGAGAUAUCGAAGCAAUACAUGGUACAUGUGAACAUUACAACAUUCUACUGGAAUGGAAUCUUGAAUUCCGAUUCUAUCAUAAUAGAAUCUUGAACUCAUAUCCUCCAAAAAGAAUGGAUAACAUUGUAUGGGAUGAAGAUGAAGAUGAACAAUGACCACCAAUCUUCGAAAAAGAAUGUAUUAUUCUAGCAGAAUAAUAUACAAUAUAAGGAAAAAACUAUAUCUAACAGUAUAUUCUGGUAGAAUAAUGUAUAUAUCAUGUUUCUUUGUUAUUAAUAAGUGUAACAUUAUCAUAGAAUA